rnacentral:rRNA from 1 species
GUGAGGAAUAUUGCGCAAUGGAGGCAACUCUGACGCAGCCAUGCCGCGUGCAGGAAGAAGGCGCUACGCGUUGUAAACUGCUUUUAACCGGGAAGAAACCCCAGGACGUGUCCUGGGUUGACGGUACCGGAGGAAUAAGCACCGGCUAACUUCGUGCCAGCAGCCGCGGUAAUACGAAGGGUGCACGCGUUAACCGGAUUCAUUGGGUUUAAAGGGUGCGUAGGCGGAGCGUUAAGUCAGUGGUGAAAUCCUGCAGCUUAACUGUAGACUUGCCAUUGAUACUGGCGCUCUUGAGUGCGCUUGAAGUGGGCGGAAUGUGCCGUGUAGCGGUGAAAUGCUUAGAUAUGGCACAGAACACCAAUUGCGAAGGCAGCUCACUAAGGCGAUACUGACGCUGAGGCACGAAAGCGUGGGGAUCGAACAGGAUUAGAAACCCCUGUAGUCC